GAGAAAUCUUUUACAGAAUGGGGCUUUCUGACAAGUAUAUUGUCGCACUUUCAGGAGGCCACACUCUGGUAUAUUUAUCACCAUUUGAUGGGACAUGAAGUCGAGAUGCAGGUGGUUUGAAAUACUUUGCCUCGUCGAUUUGGCGCUCCAGGUCUUCCAGAGUUGAAUGCAUCUCAGCUACAAUAAUCGGGCAAUUAUGGAGGCUGCUCAAGUACUGCUUUAUUUCGGAGUUGAACAAAUCAUCUAUGUUUCUGAAAUGACGCACUGCUAAAUAAAGGUCUAUUCUCCGAAGACUGCGCCUUAUGCUAGUGAGGGAAAUGAUGUGGUUCGUGAGCAAUGGGCUAAGUUUUAUACCA